GUCUAUGGCCAUGACACCCUGAACACAUCCGAUCUCAUCUGAUCUUGAAAGCUAAGCAGAGUCAGGCCUGGUUAGUACUUGGAUGGGAAACCACCUAGGAAUGCCAGGUGUUAUAAGCG
rnacentral:rRNA from 1 species